rnacentral:rRNA from 1 species
CCUACGGGAGGCAGCAGUGAGGAAUAUUGGUCAAUGGACGAGAGUCUGAACCAGCCAAGUAGCGUGAAGGCUGACUGCCCUAUGGGUUGUAAACUUCUUUUAUAUGGGAAUAAAAUGUUCCACGUGUGGGAUUUUGUAUGUACCAUAUGAAUAAGGAUCGGCUAACUCCGUGCCAGCAGCCGCGGUAAUACGGAGGAUCCGAGCGUUAUCCGGAUUUCUUGGGUUUAAAGGGAGCGUAGGUGGAUUGUUAAGUCAGUUGUGAAAGUUUGCGGCUCAACCGUAAAAUUGCAGUUGAGACUGGCAGUCUUGAGUACAGUAGAGGUGGGCGGAAUUCGAGGUGUAGCGGUGAAAUGCUUAGAUAUCACGAAGAACUCCGAUGGCGAAGGCAGCUCACUGGACUGCAACUGACACUGAGGCUCGAAAGUGUGGGUAUCAAACAGGAUUAGAUACCCUUGUAGUC